ensembl:snRNA U6 U6 spliceosomal RNA
GUGCUCACUUCAGCAGCACAUAUACUAGAAUUGGAAUGAUACAAAGAUUAGCAUGGCACACAAAUUCAUAAAGUGUUCCAUAUUUUU